rnacentral:rRNA from 1 species
UUCACGGAGAGUUUGAUCCUGGCUCAGGACGAACGCUGGCGGCGUGCUUAACACAUGCAAGUCGAACGGUGAAGCCCUUCGGGGUGGAUCAGUGGCGAACGGGUGAGUAACACGUGGGCAAUCUGCCCUGCACUCUGGGACAAGCCCUGGAAACGGGGUCUAAUACCGGAUAUGACCUUCCUCCGCAUGGGGGUUGGUGGAAAGCUCCGGCGGUGCAGGAUGAGCCCGCGGCCUAUCAGCUUGUUGGUGGGGUAAUGGCCUACCAAGGCGACGACGGGUAGCCGGCCUGAGAGGGCGACCGGCCACACUGGGACUGAGACACGGCCCAGA